GAUGAACGCUGGCGGCGUGCCUAAUACAUGCAAGUCGAGCGAACAGACGAGGAGCUUGCUCCUCUGACGUUAGCGGCGGACGGGUGAGUAACACGUGGAUAACCUACCUAUAAGACUGGGAUAACUUCGGGAAACCGGAGCUAAUACCGGAUAAUAUAUUGAACCGCAUGGUUCAAUAGUGAAAGACGGUUUUGCUGUCACUUAUAGAUGGAUCCGCGCCGCAUUAGCUAGUUGGUAAGGUAACGGCUUACCAAGGCGACGAUGCGUAGCCGACCUGAGAGGGUGAUCGGCCACACUGGAACUGAGACACGGCCCAGACUCCUACGGGAGGCAGCAGUAGGGAAUCUUCCGCAAUGGGCGAAAGCCUGACGGAGCAACGCCGCGUGAGUGAUGAAGGUCUUCGGAUCGUAAAACUCUGUUGUUAGGGAAGAACAAAUGUGUAAGUAACUAUGCACGUCUUGACGGUACCUAAUCAGAAAGCCACGGCUAACUACGUG
rnacentral:rRNA from 1 species